rnacentral:rRNA from 1 species
CCUACGGGUGGCAGCAGUCGAGAAUCAUUCACAAUGGGGGAAACCCUGAUGCUGCGACGCCGCGUGGGGGAAUGAAGGUCUUCGGAUUGUAAACCCCUGUCAUGUGGGAGAAAAUUACAAAGAUAGUACCACAAGCGGAAGAGACGGCUAUCUCUGUGCCAGCAGACGCGGUAAUAGAGAGGUCUCAAGCGUUGUUCGGAAUCACUGGGCGUAAAGCGUGCGUAGGAGGUUAAGUAAGUCGGGUGUGAAAGGCGCGGGCGCAACCCGCGGAUGGCAUCUGAUACUGCGAGACUAGAGUAAAGGAGGGGGAAGCGGAAGUCUCAGUGUAGCAGUGAAAUGCGUAGA